UACGUAGGGAGCAAGCGUUGUCCGGAAUCAUUGGGCGUAAAGCGCGCGUAGGCGGCCCUGUAAGUCCGUUGUGAAAGUCAAAGGCUCAACCUUUGAAAGCCGAUGGAUACUGCAGGGCUAGAGUCCGGAAGAGGAGAGUGGAAUUCCCGGUGUAGCGGUGAAAUGCGCAGAUAUCGGGAAGAACACCCGUGGCGAAGGCGGCUCUCUGGGACGGUACUGACGCUGAGACGCGAAAGCGUGGGGAGCGAACAGG
rnacentral:rRNA from 1 species